rnacentral:lncRNA from 12 species
AGCUGAGACGGACCCAGAGGCCAUCUGGUGGACCCGCGCCCCCUGCACGCAGGCGGGUGUGUCUCCAGGGAACCGAUCCGGAGAAGGAAGGGCAUUGAAGGGUGCUCUGGGAGCCUCUGUCCGGCUGGUGGGCUGCUUGGACUCUGCUGAGCCUAACUUGAACACCCCCGGGGGCUGGGGAGCUCACUCCCUUGCUGGAUGUGCUCCUCCACACCGAGCUGUUCGGCGCCCGAUACCUUCAGCCCACAUUCGCUCCUCGCCCAUCAGACCCUGCUUUGGAGACUAAGGCAUUUACCGAGUCCCCAGUCAGUCCAUCGAAGGGGCACAUGUGUUCCCAUCUGAACAGCUCUGAAACCAGGGUGCAUCCACCAUCAACGGUGUCUUUCGAGAUAAAUGGCAAUCUUUUUUUUUUUCUUCUUUUUAGUAAUGCCCCAAAAAUAACAGUGGGUAUUAAAAUCGACAGUGUCUUAGAUUAGAUGCAACGCAGCCUGUGCUGGCAGCUGGCCUCCGUGAUGUCAUGCACAGCUGCACACCCCCAGGUGGGAAACAGCAGCCCCCAAAGCCAGAGAGGUUGAGCAUGUGCCCAAGGGCACACAGCUGAGAUGCCACAGACACCGUGUGCGACCCCCGCCCCCACCGGACUGCGAACCCGCGCCUCCCACUGAACCCGAGCUGCUCACUGUGCGUUCGGCCAGGACCCCCCAGGCUGGGGUUCAGGCGCUGCUCACCGUGGGCCCCGGCCAAGCCUUCACACCCUGACCUGCCCCCCACCCUGUCCUCAGCUGCUGCGGACGCACCAGGCGGGCAGCAGGCUCUGCCCCCCUCAGAGGCCAGGAGAGGCCAGUACGGCUCUGAGGCUCCCGUCGGCCCCUCAUUGUCCCCGUCAUCUGCUUCUGCGUGAGAGCUCUCACGAUGUCCUCCCAGCAGCGAGCCUGUGGCCUCUCUCCGCUCAGCCUGCACUUCUGUCCCACGUGAGCAUCACAGGUGCCGCCCGCCUUCCUGGGGCUCUUGUGAGGCCCAGACACAGGGCAGGUGGAAAGGGGCCCCGAGACCCUGGGAGCUCUGUGACUCGCCCCAGGUCGUCACUCAGGGUGGUCAGUGUGCAGCUGCUCGUCCCCAGGCUUCAGGGGACUGACUCCCCUUCGGGCCUGGGCCCCGGCUCCGGGCACCCCUCACACCUGACACCAGGCCUCCCCCGGAGGUGCGGGCAGUGGCGGAGGCCUCAGUGGGUGAGCCGCGACACCCAUGCCGCAUGCACCCACCCUCCACGUGCCACACGUGGAUGGAACGGCGAGCGGCGUCCAGGAUCCCACGGCCUGCUGCCAACUCCCACGGUGGGCCGGUCGCUGCAACAUCCUGAGCCGCCCCCGCGUCCAGCUCACGGGGCUGGGGUGACGUCUGAGUCAGGCACCCCGGUCGCGGUCCUGCCCCGUGCCUGGCAUGUCACGGAGUAACUGGAAGCCACUGCCGUGACCUUCCCGCCAGGCUACUCCGUGUCCUAGUGAGACUUUCUCUCGCCGUUCUGUGUCCCCCCAACAAGAAGGGGCCACAGGGAGAUUACACGGGGUCCCCUUGCAGUACUGGGCCUGGGGCACAGGGCGGGGGGUAUUCCGGGGACCUGUUUGCACACCAGACGAAGGAGGUGUGCUCUUCUCCUGGUGACCUUUCACCUCGCCCCAAGAGAAGCAGGCAUCUGUCCACGACCCCCACGUGCCGCCGGCUGGAAAUGCUGGCAACACGCGUGGACUCGUGACAGGACUUGAAGAUUGAGGAAAGAAGGUGAGGUCUCCCCAGGGCCACAUGCACAGGGACAAUGGUCAGACACAGGACCCUAUUCUCUGCGGGGCGUGGGCAGGAGGGGCCACUACGGGAGCCUGGGCUGCAGGUGCACAGCGGCUUCUGCGCCCCCGGAGGCCAAACCAGGAUACGAGCCACCGUCACGGUCAGGCCAGAGGAGGUGAGAAGCCGGAACCCUGCCGCAUGGUGAGCCCUGCCCAGGGGCUCCAUCCGUGACAUGGGGCCACUCGGGCCUGGGGCAGGGUCAGGGCCCAUCCACUGUCUGCCCGCGUGCACACCUUGGCCGCCCCAGGCUCGCUCGUCUCCAUCUGCCUCGACACCUGGGCCUCUCCCUCAUCCAAGCCACAGCCAACCAGCUGCACCCCUGAUGCUCCCAGAGUUGUUGAGAUGCCACAGCAUGGGGGUGGGCAGGACUGUGCCUGGGCCCUGAGGGGGACGAUGCCCCAGGUGUGCACCUGCACCAACCAAUGGGAGGCAGGACCCAAGAGAGACAUGGGCACCCCUCUCCCUUCCUCCCAAGGGCCCUGGCUCAUGGCUUCCCCAGACGAGCUGACUGGAGGUGCCCCUGGCUGGCUGGGCUGCCUGUAGACCG